GAUGAACGCUGGCGGCGUGCCUAAUACAUGCAAGUCGAGCGAACAGACGAGGCGCUUGCUCCUCUCACGUUAGCGGCGGACGGGUGAGUAACACGUGGAUAACCUCCCUAUAAGACUGGGAUAACUUCGGGAAACCGGCGCUAAUACCGUAUAAUAUCUUGAACCGCAUGGUUCAAUAGUGAAAGACGGUUUUGCUGUCUCUUAUAGAUGGAUCCGCGCCGCAUUAGCUAGUUGGUAAGGUAACGGCUUAUCAAGGCGACGAUGCGUAGCCGACCUGAGAGGGGGAUAGGCCACACGGGAGCUGAGACACGGUCAAGACUCCUACGGGAGGCAGCAGUAGGGAAUCUUACGCAAUGGGGGAAAGCCUGACGGAGCAACGGCGAGUGAGUGAUGAAGGUCUUCGGAUCGUAAAACUCUGUUAUGAGGGAAGAACAAAUGUGUAAGUAAAUAUGCACGUCUUGACGGUAACUAAUCAGAAAGCCACGGCUAACUACGUG
rnacentral:rRNA from 1 species